rnacentral:rRNA from 1 species
GCAUAACGCGAAGAACCUUACCAGGCCUUGACAUGCAGAGAACUUUCUAGAGAUAGAGGUUCCCUUCGGGGCAGAGGUGACAGGUGGUGCAUGGUUGUCGUCAGCUCGUGUCGUGAGAUGUUGGGUUAAGUCCCGCAACGAGCGCAACCCUUGUCCCUAGUUGCCAGCAUUGAGUUGGGCACUCUAAGGAGACUGCCGUCGACAAGACGGAGGAAGGUGGGGAUGACGUCAAAUCAUCAUGCCCCUUAUGUCCUGGGCUACACACGUGCUACAAUGGAUGGUACAACGGGCUGCGAACUCGCGAGAGUAAGCCAAUCCCAAAAAACCAUUCUCAGUUCGGAUUGUAGGCUGCAACUCGCCUACAUGAAGUCGGAAUCGCUAGUAAUCGCGGAUCAGCAUGCCGCGGUGAAUACGUUCCC